GCGGAGUCCGUAUGGAGGACUCGGACUCGGCGGCAAAACAGCUGGGCCUGGCCGAGGCGGCAGCGGUGGCGGCCGCUGCCGCUGUGGCGGCGGCCGCCGCGGCCGCAGCGGAAAGCGAGGCAGAGGAGCCGGUGUUAAGCAGAGACGAGGACUCGGAGGAGGACGCAGACUCCGAGGCGGAGCGCGAGACGCGGCGGGUCACGGCUGUGGCGGUGAUGGCGGCCGAAUCUGGGCACAUGGAUAUGGGUACCGAGGCUCUGCCCAGCCCCGAUGAGGCCGCCGCCGCCGCCGCCUUCGCAGAAGUGACCACAGUGACUGUGGCCAAUGUGGGGUCCUCUGCAGAUAAUGUCUUCACAACAUCAGUGGCAAAUGCGGCAUCGAUAUCAGGACAUGUCCUGUCUGGUAGGACAGCCCUGCAGAUCGGUGACAGCCUGAACACUGAGAAAGCCACACUGAUAGUUGUCCACACUGAUGGGAGCAUUGUGGAGACCACUGGGCUGAAGGGCCCAGCAGCACCCCUCACUCCAGGUCCUCAGUCUCCUCCUACCCCACUGGCACCAGGCCAGGAGAAAGGUGGCACCAAGUACAACUGGGACCCUUCGGUGUAUGACAGCGAGCUGCCUGUGCGCUGUCGGAACAUCAGUGGCACGCUCUACAAGAGUAGGCUCGGCUCAGGUGGCCGUGGGCGGUGUAUCAAGCAGGGAGAAAACUGGUACAGCCCAACUGAGUUUGAAGCCAUGGCAGGAAGAGCCAGCAGCAAGGACUGGAAGAGAAGCAUCCGUUAUGCAGGCAGACCCCUGCAGUGCCUCAUCCAGGAUGGUAUUUUGAAUCCUCAUGCUGCCUCCUGUACCUGUGCUGCCUGCUGUGAUGACAUGACUCUAAGUGGCCCUGUCAGGCUCUUCGUCCCUUAUAAAAGGCGCAAGAAAGAGAAUGAGCUGCCUACGACGCCAGUGAAGAAGGAUUCCCCCAAGAACAUCACGCUGCUUCCUGCCACAGCGGCCACCACCUUCACUGUGACACCCUCAGGACAGAUCACUACCUCUGGAGCACUAACCUUUGACCGAGCAUCCACUGUAGAGGCCACUGCUGUCAUCUCUGAGAGCCCAGCCCAAGGCGAUGUCUUUGCAGGAGCCACAGUGCAAGAGGCAGGUGUGCAGCCUCCCUGCAGGGUUGGCCACCCUGAACCUCACUACCCUGGCUAUCAGGACAGUUGUCAGAUUGCCCCGUUUCCAGAAGCUGCAUUGCCAACAUCACAUCCCAAAAUUGGUGCACCCCAACAGAAAUGUGUGAGCAGACUAUCUCCUUGCCUUGACGAGCCAUGGAAGUGGAUCAGGCUGUGUCUGUUCCUGACUUCGCUGCCCGCCUUGGCUGUGCCACCCUCCACUCCCACCAAAGCCGUCUCUCCCACUGUGGUCAGUGGGCUGGAGAUGUCAGAACAUCGGAGCUGGCUGUACCUGGAGGAGAUGGUCAAUUCCCUACUCAACACAGCGCAGCAGCUGAAGACGCUGUUUGAACAAGCCAAGCAGGCGAGCUCUUGCAGGGAAGCUGCUGUGACCCAGGCGAGAAUGCAGGUUGAUGCAGAGAGGAAAGAGAAAAACUGAAGCAUUAGUACAGAGGGUCCCUGUGACCACCACAGGCUGUCCUCCAGGAGUGUGUCAAUCAUAGCCCUCUUGUCCCGCCUCUGAACACAAAUGCCAGCUCCACACUCUGAAGUCUGGCAAGUCAUCUGUUGGACAUGCUCAGACUGGCUUCUCACAGUGGAACUGACAGAAGGCUUCAGCAGGAAGAACACAUCCUAUCUUGCCACAUCCUGUGUUCAGUGGCAAUCCUUGCAGCCUGGACAAGGAUGCCUGCCAUUGUCUGCUGUCCCUCCCUCUGCAGACCUGGUCACUGAGCAAAUUCACCUGGGAGCUCUCCUGGACAGGAGUCAAAGAGACAGGUGGAUUCCUGAUUCCUGUCCUCUCCUGGACAGGAGUCGGGGUUAACCAACCAAUUUGUCUCCAGCCCUAUUGAUCUCUGUCUGGUCACAUAUUUCUAGCAGGGUGAACCCAGUGAUGUUUUAAGAUCUCUGGUUAUAGCCAGUGCUGUCUUCCUAGUUACUGUGUGUCUGGACCCCCACUCUUCCCAUAGUGCCUUCCCAACUCUGGUCUACCAAUUCUGUCUACGUGGUUACGGACUUUUUUACAGUAUUUUGUCAUUUAAGGUGAAGGCAGUCUAGAGGCUUGGUCCAGUGCUGGAGACCAGGCUAAUUCAGUUCCCAGGAUCCAACUGCAGUUAACGCUUUCUAAAGGGACAGAGGUAGUUGAUGUUUCACAGAUAGGAAGAUGGUGAUCACGGUGAAGACCACAGAGGGAACCUAAAAUUCAGAACAAGAGCCUACAAGUAGCUUGGGUUUCCAGCAUACCUGCAAAAACAGUGGUAGAGUGGACUGGGUAGCUUGUGAGCCCAGUAGUCACAUGCGUAUAUUGUGUAUAUUGGUCACAGCAGCUAGCUGCCCGCUGCCUACCAGCAUGGGUCCCUUUGGCCUGUGUGACCU